CUCUUUUAGCUCCUGAAUAAAUGAGACAGAGACUUGUCAUUUUUAUUAACAAGCUGUUGGCAUUAUGCUCGGCAGGUUCUGAGCUAUUCUAGCCUUUUAAGGCCGCCUAUUUUCCAGCCACAUGCAUUGUGAAGGAUGGACGUACUCAGCUGCAGGAGAUUGUCUCUAACAAAUCGACACACUAACGAUCAGAAUUGCAUUACUCACAGCUCUGGAGGCAGACAAGCCCAUGGUUUGUUAUUUGCUGAGAACCUGCUUAAGGUUCGUACACUUUCGUCUCCUGGCUGUGUCCUCAUGCCAUGUGAGGAGUGGAGAAAUGCUUUGGAAUCUCCGUUACAGAGGAAAAACUAGAGCAGACCAUUUCUUCUAAAAGCACCUGAGUGAAGGAGAAACACCAGUUCUACAGAAGGAUGGACGUACUCAGCUGCAGGAGAUUGUCUCUAACAAAUCGACACACUAACGAUCAGAAUUGCAUUACUCACAGCUCUGGAGGCAGACAAGCCCAUGGUUUGUUAUUUGCUGAGAACCUGCUUAAGGUUCGUACACUUUCGUCUCCUGGCUGUGUCCUCAUGCCAUGUGAGGAGUGGAGAAAUGCUUUGGAAUCUCCGCUACAGAGGGCUUCCUUGUCUGGCCUCAGUAAGAGAAGAUGUACCUACCCUGGCAGAGACUUGAUGCAUCAAGGUGGAGAGAUACCCGGGGGGGGGAGCUAUGCUCUCUGAGGAGAAGGGGAUGGAAGAGGGCUUCUACAAGGGGGUAUUGGGAAGGGGCAGUGUUUGAUGUAAAUAAAUAAAUUAAAAAUAAUAAAGAAGUAUUAAAAUCACAAAUAAAAGAAAAAACCCAAGA